AGAGUUUGAUCCUGGCUCAGAAUGAACGCUGGCGGCGUGCCUAACACAUGCAAGUCGGAUGUGCCGCAAGGUGCAUGGCAGACGGGUGAGUAACGCGUGGGGAAUCUACCUCUUUGUGGGGAAUAACGCUCCGAAAGGAGUGGUAAUACCGUAUGAGAUCCAUGGCUGGGAUGCUGUGGAUGAAACCUGGGGACCGCAAGGCCUGGGGCAAGGAGAGGAUCCUGCGUCUGAUUAGCUAGUUGGUGAGGUAAUGGCCCACCAAGGCGACGAUCAGUAGCCGGCCUGAGAGGGUGAUCGGCCACACUGGAACUGAGACACGGUCCAGACUCCUACGGGAGGCAGCAGUGGGGAAUUUUGCGCAAUGGGCGAAAGCCUGACGCAGCAACGCCGCGUGGGUGAUGAAGGUCUUCGG
rnacentral:rRNA from 1 species